rnacentral:rRNA from 1 species
AAGUGUUGCCAGACCUCUUUGUCAAAGCCUGAUCUCGUCUGAUCUUGGAAGCUAAGCAAGGUUGAUUCUGGUUAGUAGUUGGAUGAGAAACUGUCAGCAAUACCAGGUUCCUCAGUGGGGUGCCAGUGGCAACCUGUU